GCGAGCUCAGAAAGAAUUAAACCAUCAAUAAAAUGACAGACUUGGUACAUUUCAAAGCGUCUGCUAAGAUCUCAUGGAAUUUCUUGGCUACUGCAUGCUCAGUCAGACAGAAAGACAUGGGGGUAAAUCCAUGAUCACCUUGUAGUAUUUCACUGGAUGUUUCAGAAGAGCAGAUGGGAAUAGCGAGCAGUGGAUAAGUCUGUCACUGGGUUUGAGGAGUCUGGCUCUCUCCAUGUCACUGUCACUCGGGAGACAUCCUGCUUUCUGCACGGCAGUAAGGGAGGGGACUGCGGCUCCGAGUGAUCUUCCCGUAAAAACAGCAAAAACGGGAGCGCUGGGAAGUGUCAUGUGCGAGGAAUGUGUGGAAUGAGGGGUCAGCUGGAGAGCCAAUGUCAGGAUAGCAAAUGGUCCCUGAUAUCCCUGGAGCAUCGCUGCGUGGGGGGCUGUGGGGAGUCGUGUGCCUCUUGAGACCCACCAAUUAAAUAUUGCAAGUUUGGGGCCCUGUCUGGCAAGUGAUUUCAAGUCUUCCCAUACUCAGAUAAUUCCAAGGGACGGAUCCAUGCCCCAUUUCAGAGUCAAGCAUACAUGUGAGCAGCAGAGACUCCUGAAAAGAAGACUAGAGAAAGAUUGCCAUCUUCUGGAAGGAUAAAUAUCUGCCAUUAUUCAGAAUACUAAAUCUGCUAUAAGCAUAUUUUUUAAACCAUAGCAUAUUUCUGAUCAAUUUAUUUCCCAACAUGAAUUCUUAUUCUUAUAAAACCAAUUCAGUUUAAUUUCAUUGAUGUAUAUGCCAUGAAAUCAGCUUUAGAAACUGACAGAGAAUCUUGGGUUUUAAUGAUACUCUCACCAAGCUUAAAAUUAGGAAGGUGUUAAGGAUUAUCAGUAGAGAUCGACUUUAUUUAUUCUUGAGCUCGAAACCAGGCUUUUGUUUUUUGGGUUUUUUUUUUUAACUGGGCAUUUAGAAGUUAAAUUUAAGGUGUCCAGAUGCGGACAGACUGCAAAAAAGAAAGCAAAAAAAAAAUCACUCUCCUUUUAAAUGGCAUCAGCUGUUGCUCUACCUGCUCCAGUAAAUUAAGUACAUAAGUACAUCUGUUUCAAACAGAACCUUUUUAUUAAUCAAAAACCUGCAGGCGGUCCG